rnacentral:lncRNA from 1 species
UUGUCUUUUUGCUAUUUCUUGGCCUGCUCCUGCAGCAUAUGGAGGUUCCCAGGCUAGGGGUCGAAUCGGAGCUGUAGCCACCAGCCUACGCCAGAGCCACAGCAACACGGGAUCCGAGCCGCGUCUGCAACCUACACCACAGCCACGGCAACGCCGGAUCGUUAACCCACUGAGGAAGGGCAGGGACCGAACCCGCAACCUCAUGGUUCCUAGUCGGAUUCGUUAACCACUGUGCCACGAUGGGAGCUCCUCUUUUUUUUUUAAAUUGGCGUAUAGCCAGGAAGACUUUUAAGCUCUGUGAAUUGAUCUAAUAGGGAAUUAUCGCUCUCCACUGCCAUUUGCUUGUUGUCAUAAUACUCAGUUUAAGUGACACACAUUUGUUAUUUAAAUAACUGAGUUGUUCGGGGGCUAGUGGUAUAGAGGAUGAUAGGCUGGAGACAUGACAGAGUUUCAUAAACCAGGGCUGGAAAAUACCUGGGACGCUUGGAUAAUCUUACAUGCUCCUUUGUAAGGAUAUAGUUCCAUAUUUUUGCCUAGUAAAUAGUAUUUCUCUCCAUUCCCCGCCCCACCUUUUCCAGUUAAUGAUGAUUUCUGGAAUGCUUGGGGCCAGGAUGCAUACAGCUCGGCUGCAAGUCCUAAUGAGUUCCACUUUAUUUCAUUCAUUAAAUUAAAAUACAAGAGAAGGGUGAGCAUCUAUUAUGAAAUGAGAUAAAGCACAUAAAAUAGGAGGUCCUGAAUGAGCCUUUGCUAUCUCCUCUCUGGCUCAGUCCCCUGGGAAGGGAGAUUAACGGGCAAUCACUUUCAUUAAGACCGAUCAUUCCUUGGGCUCAUGGCUUCGGGGACCUGAGUCAUGGUUGGGAUGUGAGCAGCUUCUUUCAUAGAGCAGAGUCUGCUGGCUGGAAGAAUCUAGAAUUGUAACGAAAGAAAGGAAACAUGAAUGAGAAAUGACUAGACUUUACACCCGAUGCUUUGGAACAUUCCAGAGCCAAGAAAAGCCCUUCUUGUCACACAUGAUUUCUUAAUAAUUAGGGCCAGCUGUGCUUGGGCAAUUCCGGUCAAGCCAGAUGCCAAAACCCAUUGCAGACACAGGAAGAGCCUCAUCGUCAAGUCUCCAAACAAGCAGUCGAAAAUCAAAAGAGAAGAUCUCAUAAACUACAAAUCAGGAUUGCCUUUGUCUUCAGAAUCAGUGAUGUCUGUACUCACGGGUUAGUUCUACUCCAUUUUCAGGGGCAUCUCUGUAUCAUUGCCCCCGAAAUGUAGAACUCAUCUUUGACCACAGUGAGAUGCUUCCCCAAACUUCCAGAUGCUGCAAUGAAUGGUAAGGCCAGAUGAAAGAGAAUCAGAUUUGUAUUCUGUUGAUAGAUACCCAGUGCAGGGCAUGGGGUGGGGGCCAGGCCUGUGAAAAAGAAUUCAGCUUCCUCAUUUCGUGGCAUUUAUUUGCUCAUUAUUGAAACUAACGAAACUGCCCAGGAGCCUUUUGGUUUUGCCUUUCUUUAGUGUGCCUUCUUUUCUAAAAACUGUCUCUUAUAAUCGCUUCAUGUUACGCUGGAAGGUCCAUACCGAUUUUCGCUGAGAAUCACAGAAAUUUUCUUUUCAUAUUAAAAAAAAAUUAAAUGAAAGGUUUAUACUUUUAUAGUUCUUUAUACUUUUCAAAAGCUUCACACACAUGAUUUCAUAUACUCUCCUGUAUGAUUUCAUAUACCCCCAUAUUGCCCUCCCCCACCCCGACCCCCUGCUGGUAACCUCUAGUUUGUUCUUUGUGAGUCUGUUUCUUUUUUGUUUUAGUCACCAGUUUCUUGUAUUUUUGAGAUUCCACAUAGAAGUGAUAUCAUACAGAAUUUAUCUCUCUCUGUCUGACUUAUUUCACUUAGCACAGGGUAGAACCAUAGGCUUUUACAGUUAGCAGACACCUGCCUGGAGUUUCUGGAAGUUUCCAUUUACACCUGGGCAGACUUAUUCGGCUGGCUCUAGGUGCUGCGGUCUCAGGCCACAGCCCUGGGAAGUGGAAGUGGUCUCCAGAUGUUAAGGUCCCCCUGGCCUGGCUCACCUCCCCUCCCUUAGAGAGGGCGUCCUUCACUCUCCAGUGAUACGGAGGCCUUAGGGAAGCUGCUUCCUCAGGGUUCAGAUCGUCUCUGGAAAGGACUCACACCUGAGUCUUGUGUUGCUCAUGAGUCAAAAGCCAGUGACCAACACUCUGCUAUACUCAGCACUUUAAUGACAAGGACUAACUAUGGGGUCAGGUGGCCCCUCUGAGGCACCUGCUCCCCUUAGAAUGAGUUCUUUCCCAAGAGGUUCCUUUGUUCUUCAAGCAAAUCCACAUCCUCUAGGCCGCCUUCCCACAACCCCCCGCUGCCCCCACCCCGUGUACGAUUUAUGUCCAUAAUUGAAUCCAAGAUGCACCCCAGAUCUGUACUCUUUGCCAUGUAGAAAUAUCAUCAAUUUGGAGUUCCUGUUGUGGCACAGCGAAAACGAAUCUGACUAGGAACCAUGAGGUUUCAGGUUCCAUCCCUGGCCUCAAUCACUAGUGGGUUAAGGAUCCAGCAUUGCCAUGAGCUGUGGUGUAGGUUGCAGACAUGACUCGGAUCCUGCGUUGUGUGGCUGUUGUGUAGGCUGGCAGUUGUAGCUCCAAUUUGACCCCUGGCCCGGGAAACUAAAAGGCAACCUGUGGCCCUAAAAACCAAAAAAGAAAAAAAAAAAAAAAAAAAAAA